rnacentral:rRNA from 1 species
GUCCACGCCGUAAACGAUGGAUGCUAGCCGUCAGCAAGCAUGCUUGUUGGUGGCGCAGCUAACGCAUUAAGCAUCCCGCCUGGGGAGUACGGCCGCAAGGUUAAAACUCAAAGGAAUUGACGGGGGCCCCGCACAAGCGGUGGAGCAUGUGGUUUAAUUCGACGCAACGCUAAGAACCUUACCAGCCCUUGACAUGCCCGGACGGUUUCCAGAAACGGAUUCCUCCUAGCAAUAGGUCGGGACACAGGUGCUGCAUGGCUGUCGU